rnacentral:rRNA from 1 species
ACCGGCGAGUUACGAUUUGAUGCAAGGUUAAGCAGUAAAUGUGGAGCCGUAGCGAAAGCGAGUCUGAAUAGGGCGUUUAGUAUUUGGUCGUAGACCCGAAACCAGGUGAUCUACCCUUGGUCAGGUUGAAGUUCAGGUAACACUGAAUGGAGGACCGAACCGACUUACGUUGAAAAGUGAGCGGAUGAACUGAGGGUAGCGGAGAAAUUCCAAUCGAACCUGGAGAUAGCUGGUUCUCUCCGAAAUAGCUUUAGGGCUAGCCUCAAGUGAUGAUUAUUGGAGGUAGAGCACUGUUUGGACGAGGGGCCCCUCUCGGGUUACCGAAUUCAGACAAACUCCGAAUGCCAAUUAAUUUAACUUGGGAGUCAGAACAUGGGUGAUAAGGUCCGUGUUCGAAAGGGAAACAGCCCAGACCACCAGCUAAGGUCCCAAAAUAUAUGUUAAGUGGAAAAGGAUGUGGCGUUGCCCAGACAACUAGGAUGUUGGCUUAGAAGCAGCCAUCAUUUAAAGAGUGCGUAAUAGCUCACUAGUCGAGUGACACUGCGCCGAAAAUGUACCGGGGCUAAACAUAUUACCGAAGCUGUGGAUUGUCCUUUGGACAAUGGUAGGAGAGCGUUCUAAGGGCGUUGAAGCAUGAUCGUAAGGACAUGUGGAGCGCUUAGAAGUGAGAAUGCCGGUGUGAGUAGCGAAAGACGGGUGAGAAUCCCGUCCACCGAUUGACUAAGGUUUCCAGAGGAAGGCUCGUCCGCUCUGGGUUAGUCGGGUCCUAAGCUGAGGCCGACAGGCGUAGGCGAUGGAUAACAGGUUGAUAUUCCUGUACCACCUAUAAUCGUUUUAAUCGAUGGGGGGACGCAGUAGGAUAGGCGAAGCGUGCGAUUGGAUUGCACGUCUAAGCAGUAAGGCUGAGUAUUAGGCAAAUCCGGUACUCGUUAAGGCUGAGCUGUGAUGGGGAGAAGACAUUGUGUCUUCGAGUCGUUGAUUUCACACUGCCGAGAAAAGCCUCUAGAUAGAAAAUAGGUGCCCGUACCGCAAACCGACACAGGUAGUCAAGAUGAGAAUUCUAAGGUGAGCGAGCGAACUCUCGUUAAGGAACUCGGCAAAAUGACCCCGUAACUUCGGGAGAAGGGGUGCUCUUUAGGGUUAACGCCCAGAAGAGCCGCAGUGAAUAGGCCCAAGCGACUGUUUAUCAAA